rnacentral:rRNA from 1 species
UACGAAGGGGGCUAGCGUUGUUCGGAAUUACUGGGCGUAAAGCGCGUGUAGGCGGGUCUUUAAGUCAGGGGUGAAAUGCCAAGGCUCAACCUUGGAACUGCCUUUGAUACUGGAGAUCUUGAGUCCGGGAGAGGUGAGUGGAACUGCGAGUGUAGAGGUGAAAUUCGUAGAUAUUCGCAAGAACACCAGUGGCGAAGGCGGCUCACUAGCCCGGAACUGACGCUGAGACGCGAAAGCGUGGGGAGCAAACAGG